CACGUAGUUAGCCGUGACUUUCUGGUUGAAUACCGUCACUGCGUGAACAGUUACUCUCACGCACGUUCUUCUUCAACAACAGAGUUUUACGAGCCGAAACCCUUCUUCACUCACGCGGUGUCGCUCCAUCAGGCUUGCGCCCAUUGUGGAAGAUUCCCUACUGCUGCCUCCCGUAGGAGUAUGGACCGUGCCUCAGUUCCAUUGUGGCCGAUCAGUCUCUCAACUCGGCUAUGCAUCAUUGCCUUGGUAAGCCGUUACCCUACCAACUAGCUAAUGCACCGCGGGCCCAUCCUGAAGUGAUAGCCGAAACCACCUUUACAAAACGAAACCAUGUUAGGUUUUCGUUGUUAUGGCGGUUAUUAGCUACCUUGUUUACCAAAUUGUUACUCCCCCGUCUUCGACGGGCUAGGUUCGCCCGUACGUGUUACCUCCGACCCGUCCCGCCG
rnacentral:rRNA from 1 species